rnacentral:rRNA from 1 species
AUUGAACGCUGGCGGCAGGCCUAACACAUGCAAGUCGAGCGGAUGAAGGGAGCUUGCUCCUGGAUUCAGCGGCGGACGGGUGAGUAAUGCCUAGGAAUCUGCCUGGUAGUGGGGGAUAACGUCCGGAAACGGGCGCUAAUACCGCAUACGUCCUGAGAGAGAAAGUGGGGGAUCUUCGGACCUCACGCUAUCAGAUGAGCCUAGGUCGGAUUAGCUAGUUGGUGGGGUAAAGGCCUACCAAGGCGACGAUCCGUAACUGGUCUGAGAGGAUGAUCAGUCACACUGGAACUGAGACACGGUCCAGACUCCUACGGGAGGCAGCAGUGGGGAAUAUUGGACAAUGGGCGAAAGCCUGAUCCAGCCAUGCCGCGUGUGUGAAGAAGGUCUUCAGAUUGUAAAGCACUUUAAGUUGGGAGGAAGGGCAGUAAGUUAAUACCCUGCUGUUUUGACGUUACCAACAGAAUAAGCACCGGCUAACUUCGUG